UUGCAUUUUCUACUGGUUAAAUGGGGGGAUUUUUGAAGAGGAAAUGCAUGAGUUUCGUUUACAUGUGAGAUUUUUUGUAGAGGGAAACGCGUGAUUUUUUGGAUACAUGGGGGAUUCUUGUAGCAAAAAUGUUUGAUUUUGGGGGUCAAAUGGGGGAUAUUUUGAAGGGCAAAAGUGUGAUUUCCGAGUUAAAUGGGGGAUUUUCCUAGAGAAGAUGUGUGAUUUGGGGGAUAAUGGGGUAUUUUUGAAGAGAUAAAGCAUGAUUUUGGGGUAAAUGGGGGAUUUUCCAAGAGAAAAUGUGUGAUUUGGGGGUUAAAAGGGGGAUUUCUGAGGAGAAAAUGUGAUUUGGGGGAUAAUGGGGGUAUUUUUGGAGAGAAAAUGCAUGAUUUGGGGGUAAAUGCGUAUUUUCCAAGAGAAAAGGUGAGGUUUUUGAGUUAAAUGGGGGGUUUCCAAGAGAAAUGCGUGAUUUUGGGGUUAAACGGGGGAUUGUUGAAGAGAAAACGCGCAAUUUUGGUUUAAACAGCAAGUUUUGAAGAGAAUAUGCGUGAUUUUCAGUUUAAAUCAGGGAUUCUGAAAGAGAAAAUGUGUGAUUUUUGUUUAAAUGGGGUAUUUUGGAAGGGAAAAUGCAUGAUUUUCGGGUAAAAUGGGGGGUUUUCGAAGAGGAAAUGCUUCGUUCAGGUUAAAUUGGGGGUUUUCGAAGCCAAAAUGUGCGAUUUUCACUUAAAUGGGGGAUUUUCCAAACGAAAAUGCAUGAUUUCUUUUUAGAUGGGGGAUUUUCAUAGAGAAAAGGCAUGAUUUUUGUGUUAAGUGGGGGAUAUUUGCAA
rnacentral:lncRNA from 7 species